rnacentral:rRNA from 1 species
CCCUAUGGCCAUACUGCACUGAGUGCACUUGAUUUUCUCUGAUCUCAUAAGCUGAAUAAUUCUGAGCCUCAGUAGUACUUAGCUGAAAAACCACCUGGGAAACAGAUGCUGUAGUCA